UACCAGCACCCCGAGUGGUCGGGACGAUUAUUGGGCCUAAAGCAUCCGUAGCCGGUUUUACAAGUCCUCCGUUAAAUCCAGCUGCUUAACAGAUGGGCUGCGGAGGAUACUAUAAGACUAGGAGGCAGGAGAGGCAAGCGGUACUCAGUGGGUAGGGGUAAAAUCCGUUGAUCCAUUGAAGACCACCAGUGGCGAAGGCGGCAUCCUGGACCAAUACUGACGCUGAGGAGCGAAAGCCAGGGGAGCAAACGGG
rnacentral:rRNA from 1 species